rnacentral:rRNA from 1 species
CACAUGCAAGUCGAACGGAAAGGCCCUUCGGGGUACUCGAGUGGCGAACGGGUGAGUAACACGUGGGUGAUCUGCCCUGCACUUUGGGAUAAGCCUGGGAAACUGGGUCUAAUACCGAAUACACCUCGCUGGCCGCAUGGUCUGGUGGGGGAAAGCUUUUGCGGUGUGGGAUGGGCCCGCGGCCUAUCAGCUUGUUGGUGGGGUGAUGGCCUACCAAGGCGACGACGGGUAGCCGGCCUGAGAGGGUGACCGGCCACACUGGGACUGAGAUACGGCCCAGACUCCUACGGGAGGCAGCAGUGGGGAAUAUUGCACAAUGGGCGCAAGCCUGAUGCAGCGACGCCGCGUGGGGGAUGACGGCCUUCGGGUUGUAAACCCCUUUCAGCACAGACGAAGCGCGAGUGACGGUAUGUGCAGAAGAAGGACCGGCCAACUACGUGCCA